rnacentral:rRNA from 1 species
AUACGUAGGUGGCGAGCGUUGUCCGGAAUUAUUGGGCGUAAAGGGUGCGUAGGCUGGUAUGUAAGUCCGGUGUGAAACGCUUCGGCUCAACCGAGGAGUUGCAUUGGAAACUGCAUAUCUAGAGUUCAGGAGAGGGAAGCGGAAUUCCUAGUGUAGCGGUGAAAUGCGUAGAUAUUAGGAGGAACACCAGUGGCGAAGGCGGCUUCCUGGACUGAAACUGACGCUGAUGCACGAAAGCUGGGGUAGCGAACAGGAUUAGAUACCCUGGUAGUCCCAGCCGUAAACGAUGGGUACUAGGUGUUGUCACUUCAUUGUGGCAGUGCCGUAGUUAACGCAAUAAGUACCCCGCCUGGGGAGUACGGCCGCAAGGCUGAG